ACAGAAUUUGGACAUUUCAUUCACUCCAAGUUUAAGCAAAUAACGUGAGCUUUCGUUCAAGACUAAACUUUCCAUAUCUUGCACACAUUUAAUAGCACUAUCUGUUAAAACCAGUAAAACAUUGGUUAAAGUUGUACCGUUUACAUUUGAACACAUCAAACAAAUAUAAGACAUAAACAUUAUUUGUGAAUAUAGUUAACCCUUCAGAUUCCUUAAUUUUUGUCCUUUUGAGAUUAUUUAUUGAAAAGUUCAGUUUGUAGAAAAAUUCACAAACAAGCCACAAGUCAUGGGACACGCUGUAUGGAUCCUUUGUUCUGGUCCAUUAAUUAUUGAUGAUUCCUGCGGGUUUGGAUCGUGUGAUCAGAGUUAAUUUAAUCAGCUCCUUUUUACGAGAUAGCAACACGGCUGACAUAAUAAUCAGUUAUAUCAAUCAUAAUAAUCAGUUACAUCAAUCAUAAUAAUCAGUUAUGUCAAUCAUAAUAAUCUGGAGAGUGAAUGUAUCAUUUGUUCUCCUGUAAUGAUAUUAUUUCCAUCAUAUUUCCUCGAUCUGACCGGGAUUAAUAACCAGAAUCAGUGUUCACAGAAGUUAAAUGAUGAGGUCAAACACUAAAGACAGGACAGAUGAAUCAUGUUCAUGUACAGUCUGAUCAGUGUUUCAUCAUAGUAUCUUCAUAAUGCUUCUAAUGUGUGUAAUAUUGAAUGAACAUGACGCCUGUAAACAGUGUGUUGAAGAUUUUGUAAGUAUAUGAUAUUUUAUAUGUUUGUAUAGUUUUCAAGGAGGGAAACUAUAUUAGUGAAGUUAUUUUACUUCUGUACUUUAAAUAUAUAUAUAUAUAUAUAUAUAUAUAUAUAUAUAUAUAUAUAUAUAAAAUUACAUUAAAUCAGAAUCAGAUCAUAUGUUUGUAUUGAUUUAUUAAUUGUUGUUGUUUUCUUCUACAGUGUUGCUGAGAUUCAUUGGUAAAUCAAGUCAGCGGGUGAUUACUAUACUCGAUGUUCUGGCUGGAAUAAGUUUUGAUGUUCUGCCUUCACUUCAGUUUAUCCUCCUGUUCAUCACAUUUGGAUCUAGAGGAGGAUUAAUCAUUGUGGCAGUUUUACCAGUGUUUACAACAGUGACAAAAUACAAGUGGGAUUUUACAUGUGGUCAACAGAUGGGCUGUAAGUGUUUGAUGAAUUCUGAUCUGAUCCCUGAUAUUAAUAAAAAUAACUCAUGACAUCAUAAUCUGAUCAAUAUCUAAUUCAUU
ensembl:lncRNA